rnacentral:misc_RNA from 2 species
AAGUCGUAACAAGGUUUCCGUAGGUGAACCUGCGGAAGGAUCAUUAUUGAAUAAACCUGAUGGGUUGUAGCUGGUUCCUUCGGGGACAAGUGCUCGCCUGUCAUCUUUAUAUCUCCACCUGUGCACUUCUUGUAGACCUGGAUAACUUUCUGAGGCAACUCAGUUAUGAGGAUUGCUGUGUGUUUUGCGACGCCGGCUUUCCUUACAUUUCCAGGCCUAUGUUUUUCAUAUACCCCAUUGUAUGUAACAGAAUGUUUCACAAGGCUUCAAUGCCUAUAAACAAAAUACAACUUUCAGCAACGGAUCUCUUGGCUCUC